CCAAAAGAAGGAUUCUUUUUUUUCUUUUUCCUUUGCCCUACAAAAAAAAAAAAAAAAGAAGAGAAACUGAGCGCCGCUACAAACGAUAUGGUGACUAUGGUUCAGUCACGUUGAUGCAAGAGGCAGUGGGUUUCGAUGCGAUUUUGAGGGUGUUGUUUGUGGGAGCUUUAGGUGGUAAGAGUCGUGGGUUGAGAUGGUGAUGGAGAGGGCUGGUCGAUGUUGUAAAUGGCAGAGGCAGUGGGCUAUUAUUAAUUAGGUUGGUGAGGGUUCAAGGUUUAAGUGACGGGAAGGAAUGAGCAUAAUGGUAAUGCUGGAAUUUGGUGAUGAAGGUUGGAGUUAGUGAAGGUUGAGGGAAAUGGUGAUGGGUUUAGAAAUAGGUGGAGCUUUGGAAAAUGAUGGUAAUGAGGUUGUGUUGAUUAUCGUAAGGUAAUGGGUGAAUGACUAUGGUGAUGGUGAGGGAUGAGGGUUGAAGAUGAUUUGGAUGGUUAGUGCUGGUAUGUACAGUUUGAGCCCUCAUUUAGGGGCCCAAAAUGGAGGGAAAAGAGACAGGAAGAGACAGAGACCAUAGUGUCGAGGGAAAAACAAAGUUAUCCAGGUUUUGACUACAACUUCAUUUUCGGCGGGUACAAGUGAAAUAUCUCCAAAUAUGCCGAUACAAGUGUAAUAGGCUAGAAUCUAAACCAGAAUGAAACUUAUGCUCCAUGGUUCCGGUUUAUGUCCAAGACGAAAUGUAUAGGUUGGUAUAAUUGGUACCUGAACAGGACCAACUACCGUGAUAUCAACAGUUUUAAUUCGAAUUGAUCAUU